rnacentral:tRNA from 1 species
GGGUAUUUGGUCGAGUUUGGUUUAUGGCACUCGUCUUGAAAACGAGAACUUUUUAUAGAAGUCGUGAGUUCAAAUCUCACAGUGCCCG